rnacentral:snoRNA from 1 species
ACGCACGUGCCAGAGUCAGCAGGCCUGCCGGGAGUGCAGUGCCAUGUGUUAUGCAUGUGCCAGAAGG